CAAAAUUAUCUAUUCUUCUAAGACGUUUAGCUCAUAUUUAUGAAAAUAAUGUUUGUUUUCUACAUCUAACAAAAAAUGGAAGAAAAGAAAAGACCAAUAUAGCAACUGCACAUCAAAUAUGAACAACACAGAUUUUUCUUGAUAACUUAGAACUCACUAUAUUGUGAAACCAAAGAGAUAGAGAAGUAAACAAAGAUGCUGUGACCUGCCCUGUAUUGCUAGUUUGUUUCCAAGACAACAACAUUCACCCAUUUCAAGUAACUUCUACAACAAUACCAUUAAAUCAAUCACCCCAAAAUUAUGAAGGAUGGCGUGACAUUAUUUGUCAAUUUACAAGAUGAUGCAGCUUCCUGGAUCCUUUUUAACAUCUUCGUAAUUGCCCAAAGCUUGCUCAAAUUUAAGCCAAAAUGGACCAGUCUCCUGAAGAUUCACAUUCUUUGGCCCAGCAAGGUAAGCCUGAACAACAAACUGUGGAGUCCUUUCCCUCCCUUCAUAUUCCGAUAAAUAAGCCAGAUAGGCUGCGCCAAAGUACAUGGACACAAACGGCUUCGUCAUAUCAUCAACAGAGUCAACUUUAUAAGCUCUAUAUCCCAACUCCCUAAGCACAAGGAAAAAAAUUCUAGUACAUUUCAGGAGUAGGGAAAAUAAUAUUUAUUCAUUUAAAAGGAGUCUUAUAUUUCUAGUUUUGCACCCAAAAGAUUUUCUAGUAAAAAAAUAAAGCUCAUACAAGAUACAACUCCUAUUAAUGCAAAUUUGGCAGUGAUAACAUUGGCAUUCCAUUAAAAUGCAGGAUACAAUAAAUAAACUUGAUUUUGUCAAAAGGCAAAUAAAGAUGUGUGAAAAUAUCAGAUUCAGUUGCAGUAUUUGCAUACAUGUAAAGCCAGAAAGCUGUAGAGUAGUCGAUUCCCAUUAAUCCACUUCGUGGUCGAACCCCAUUCACAAAACGCAUACUAACCAUUUCCGCAAGGGCACAAAGGACUGACUGUGCAAUAAAAAAUUAUAAAAAAUAGCAUCAAGAAAAAAAAUUACGUAAAAAGUUACAGAGAAGGAGAUGAAUACAGUAGGGGGCAAAAAAUCUGAGGAUAGACUUUAAAGUUAAGAUGCUCAAAAAACAAAACAAUCAAUAAUAAAACAAACAGAAAACUGUCUUCUUGACGUCUCCAGAUCUCAAGGAGAAUUUUCAGGUCUUCUUAGAAAAAGCAACACUAGAUACCUUUUAUUUAGGUCUCAAAACAGUAUUUGGAUACAUCCCUUCUACAUUAUCACUUAUGUUGGUUGCAGAAGGAUAGCAACUAACUCAUAUCACAACUCUUACCAAAUAAACGUAGGAUUAUCCUCUUUAAAGGUUGGGACAAGUGAAUAACCAGUGGUAAAUAUCUCAAAGAAUUGGAUAUAAUAGAGAAAGAGGCAAGAAAUAAACAAAGAAAAGGAUGCAUUAAGUAGCCAAGCAAUUGUGUCUUAUUCGAGAAACAGAAGCAUUAUUACCAAAUGAAUAUACACUUGGGAAACAAAGAAUCCUUACUACAUAUGGUAUGUACUCACUGAUUUAACUCCCCUUGUACUAAAGUGCUUUGAAAGAAUUGUUUCCGCAACUGCCUUCACUUCUACCCGGGAAAGAUACGGUCUCUUGUCCUUGUCAUGUGAAAAGCGUACCUUUCCGCGUUUUUCUCCAGAUUUCAUCCACUCUCUAGCAACAUCAUGGUUAUUCCACAUCUCAAUCAUGUCUUCUGGAGAAGCUCUAGAGUCCCAAUAUACAUGAUCACCACCUGUGUUUUGUGAAGCAAAUACAGCUGGUGCAGCAGAAGCACAAGAAUUGUUUACAGAAGGACCAUCCUCAACAAAUCUUCUGUAAAACAGUUAUACAGUUGCAAUCAAUUUCAAAUACCAUUUCUCCAUUUUCUUAAGAUAUUGCCUGUUAGAAUUUUCAAGGAACAAGUCCUGCUGAGUAGAAGGUCUACCCUGCUUUAUGGGAAUUAUAACAUGCACAUAAAUUACAAGUAGCCAUUAUUUGCUUUCAGAAGCAGCUAAACAAGAUCUACGAAGUAGCUAUUAAUAAUGUUGACAUAAAUAAGAUCUUUGGAGUAGCUAUCAUUCAGGGAUGCAAACAACCACCUUGAUGGGAGACUUUCUUUAACUAAAAGGUACUGUUUCCAAUACUGCAAAGUUGACUUAUGAGUUGCCUUUUUUGUACCACCUUUAUAUGCCCUAACUACAAACUCUUCACUUCUUUCUUUUUGCUCAAAGUUUGAUAACCAUUUAAGGUACGCAGCCCCAAAGUAUACACUUACAAAAGGCCUAUACAGAAUAUCUGGAUUCUCUUCCACAUCAUAUAUCCGGUAGCCCAAAUCUCUGACAAGCCACUCUGCUGUUUUUGGCAAAAGUUGCAUGAUUCCUAUGGUGGCCUGCUUAGUUUUUUUGUCAUAGUUUGUGACAAGCAGCUGCCUAUCACUUGCUAGUUCAGCAAUGGCACAGAGCAUGUCCGGAAGGAUCUGAGAAUCAAAAUGUCUGCGGACAACGAUUUCAGCUACAGCCUUCAUCUCAGUUUGUGUCAAAUAAGGCUCCCCAUCAGGAUCCCUUGAAAGGUGAACUUUCUGUCCUCUAGUCUCUCCAGCAUCUAACCAUUCAGUGCUCACUUCGGGCUCCUGCCACAUUUCUUGCAUGUCCUGGGGUUCGACACACUCAUCCCAAUAUUUGAAGCUGAUGCCCAUCCUGGAGACUGCUUUCUAAGACACGUCUAUCACAAAGAAAAAACUAAUUUCAAGGUGCAAUUGCAUCUUCAAGUGGGGAUAUAUUUACGCAUAUGAGACACAAUUGGAAAGCAAAAUAAACUUUCUAGACUAUACUUGCUUCAAAAAAAUCCCACCUCCACAUCUCAGUGGUCAUGAUACCGGAACAUGUGACUUCAUAGGAAGAACUGAUACAACAAGAUGUCAUAGAGUGUGAUUUCAAAAGCUUUUCUUUUCUUUCUUUUUGAGAACCACAUGCAAUUUUGAGAGCUCAUCUAUUCCAGAAUCUACCUUAUGCAACCUAGGAGGAUUAUGCAUGUACAUAAAAAAAUAAAAAUAAAAAAAAGGACCCAGCAAAGGAAAUGUUGAAAUCACCUAGAAAGGUUAUCAAGAUGUCAAAAAAUUCUCCCAAAAUAAUGUAACUUAGUCUUAGCCAACCAGCAGCUAAACUCUCUGUAGCCCACCUAAUUGAAUUAGCCAAUCUCUUUCAAUGAGAAAUUGAAAGGUAUUGUCCUAUUUGUUUUACUACAGUAAAUAAGCAAGACCAUUUCUAUACCAUCCAAAUUGUCCCACACCAAAACCUUCAGUAACCAUUGUCCUGGGGUAAAGUCUCUUAGAUUGUGUACUGCCUUCAGUGUUGGAAAGAUAUAGCAAUUCAUAUUGAAGAAGAUUUCAUUUAACAGAAAACAAAGCAGUAAGAAGUGUUUGGCUUAGCUUAUAAAAUUAGCUUAUAAGCACCAGGUGCUUAUAUUUGAGCCUAUAAGCAUUUAAAAUUUUAAGCAGUUAAAAGAGUACAAGUGGCUGAUAAACAAUUGAUACAUUUGGCCAAAAACAACUUAUAAUUACAUUUAUUAUUAAAACGACUAAAAAGAGUACUAAAUUAUUUCUCAAAUAAUAAAUUAUAUUAACUCAAAAUUUUAUUAUAAUACUAUCAAAAUAUAUUCCAAUCAUAUUACAAUAUAAUUUAAUUUUAAAUUAAAUAAACAAAUAUUUUAUAGAUAAAUAUUUCACUAAAAUUAAUAAAAAAUAAUUUUUAAAAUUUAUUUAAAUUACUGCAGGAAAAUAAAUUUUUUAAUAUGAAUAUAAGAAUAAAUACAAUAAGGAUAUAUAGUGGAAUUAUCAAAUUAAAUAAGGGCAAUAUAGUAAAAUACUUAGUUAAACUAACUUAUAAGCACCAAAAUAAAAGGCUCCUCUCCU
rnacentral:misc_RNA from 1 species